GGAGGCGCAUCUGUUCUGGUGAAUGGCGCGGUCUUCAAAACCGUUUUGUGAGACUGUGAGAGCAGGCUCAGGUGGGUUCGAUUCCCACACGCCUCCGCCA
rnacentral:tRNA from 1 species